rnacentral:rRNA from 1 species
UACUAGAGUAGCACUCGCAUAUCAAUAAGCGGAGGAAAAGAAACUAACAAGGAUUCCCUUAGUAACGGCGAGUGAAGCGGGAAGAGCUCAAAUUUGAAAUCUUCAAGGUUCUACCUUGACGAAUUGUAGUUUAUAGAAGUGUUUUCUGUUAGUAGAGUGGCAAAAGUUCUUUGGAAUAGGACAUCAUAGAGGGUGAGAAUCCCGUAUUUGGUCAUUCUUUCUAGCUUUGUGAUACACUUUCAACGAGUCGGAUUGUUUGGGAAUGCAGUCCAAAAUGGGUGGUAAAUUUCAUCCUAAAGCUAAAUAUUGGCGAGAGACCGAUAGCGAACAAGUACCGUGAGGGAAAGAUGAAAAGAACUUUGAAAAGAGAGUUAAACAGUACGUGAAAUUGUCAAAAGGGAAGCGUUUGACACCAGUGUUGUUUUCUCGAAAAUCAAUUAAAAAUGAUGGGAUUUUGUGUUGUAUUGACUUUAUCAGCUUUCUGCACUUUUUUCUUAUCUUUUUUAAUGCACUUUUCGUUUAACAAGUCAACAUCAAUUUCUUUUGUUGUAAAAGAGUCAUUGGAAGGUGGCUUUUUCUUCGGAAAAAGUGUUUAUAGCCUUUGGCUUCUGCAAUCGGAGAGAUUGAGGUCUGCAGCGUAGAUCCUUCGGGGUUAGAUACAUUUGUGCUAAGCUAUAGUUCUUUAUAGACAACUUGUUGACUAUAAUCAAUCCUGUAACUUACUCGCUUAUGCUAUUUUACCUACGCUUAGGAUGUUGAAGAUGUAGCACAUCAU